rnacentral:lncRNA from 10 species
AAUAUUUUACAGAGUUUGGUUUUCUCAUCAACAUUGUGACUCUCAUCAGUGGUUACCAUGUGUGUAGGAAACAACAAGGGGUCAGGUUUUUUUUUUUUUUUUUUUUUUUUGAGAUAGAGUUUCAUUCUUGUUGCCCAGACUGGAGUGCAAUGGCACGAUCUCAGCUCACGGCAACCUCCGCCUCCCGGCUUCAAGCAGUUCUCCCACCUCAGCCUCCCGAGUAGCUGGGAUUGUAGGCAUGCGCCACCACACCCGGCUGAUUUUGUACUUUUAGUAGAGAUAGGGUUUCUCCAUGUUGGUCAGGCUGGUCUCGAACUCCUGACCUCAGGUGAUCUGCCUGCCUCGGCCUCGGCCAAAAAUCUGUAAACUCUGGGUUCUCUGAGUUUGCUGAAACGCAAAACCUCUGAGCUCACAGCUGCUCACUCAGCCCAAAGUGCUGGGAUUACAGGUGUGAUCCACUGCGCCUGGCCAGGUCAGGUAUUUUUUAAGGAAUAUAGUGACUUAGGUAAGAGAUGUUGAAGGGGCAGGUGUUUUGUUUUGUCUUUUAAAUAUUUUUGUGGAGAGUUACAUGUCAGCACAGAGUCAGGGGCUAUGCGAAAUUAUGCUCACAAGCAGAAAUGAGUAAACACGGCUUUUUAUAUUUAUUUCAUUUUGUAAGUUUUCUCUUUUGCUCAUAAAUCCACCAUCCAGUUAUGUUUAUAAGACCAGUGUUGACUGUCUCAUGGUUAGGAAGCUUCUUUUUUAGGAAGACAUGUAAUUUGUACUUGUAAGGAAUGAGUAUUGGGCCCAGUGUGUAUAUUUGUCUAUUUAUCGGAAAAUAUGUUUUGGAUUAUAUCUAUUUUUUAAUUAAUAUGAGCUGGCGUUUUUUUUUCUGAGACAGGUUCUCACUCUGUCACCCAGGCUGGAGUGGAGUGAUAUGAUCGCAGCUCACUGCAGCCUUGACCUCCCGGGCUCAAGUAAUCCUUCCACCUCAGCCUCCUGCAUAAUGGGACUGCAGGCACAUGCCACCAUGAUCAGUGUGACACACUGGCCUCCUGGCCACAUCUGCACUGUAGCAAACGGCUUCCUGAGAGAGGAAAAUGCAAACUCCUCAUCAGGCUGCGAACUCUCUGUGGCUGGAAAUUUGUAAACUCUGAGUUCUCUGAGUUUGCUGAAAUGCAAAAACUCUGAGCUCACAGCUGCUCACAGGGAUUUUUGAGGAUUUUGCAAGGGGCUAGGUCUGCCCCUAACCCUUCCUUCAAGUUCACAGCCUACCUUAGGGGUGGCAGAGGUCAGCAAACCUCCCACAAAGGGCCAGGGUGUACUUUAGGCUUUGAGAGCCAGAUGAUCUCUGCGGCAGCAUUUCAACUCUGACACUGGAGUUCUACAGCAGUCACAGACAAUAUGUAAGUGAAUAGGCGUGGCUGUGUGCCAAUAAAACUUUACUUAAAACAGGCAGAGGGCUAGAUUUGGGUCCGCUUCAGUCACCCCAGUAAUUGGGAGAGGCAAACUCCCAUUUCUAAACUAUUCCUCUCUGUUGCCUUCUCAGAAACUUUUUGCCUGCUAUUGUCCCUACCCCCACUUUCUCCUCGUCUACCAGCUCGCUGCCACCAAAAUGCAAAUAUGCCAUAGAAUCCCGCAUCUCAAAAACAAGACAAGGCCACCUCCCUCCAGCUGCCACCCCCCUCCAGCUGCCACCCCAUCCCUCUGCUUCAAG